UGUAUACAAAACGUUUGGCUUUGAAAGAAUAAAAAUGCUCCGUUAUGCUUUAUUACAUAAAAAACUACAGCUUCUAUAUUCUAUUUUCUACAAAGCGAUUUGACUUAAGAAAUUAGAAAGAUAAUAAUGACUGCAAAUUCUAUUGAACGAUCUUUUUUCACUGCUAUGACAGUGCCCUAGCAUUGGGUUGCAUAAAGGGAGAGAAAAUUCCUUGCAGCGAGUGAAAAUUGUCGCAAAAGGUAUAAUGUAUUAAUCGAACCUCCAAUGUUUCUUACACUGUUUACAUCUAUACGAUUCCGUGGAGGCUUUUUCAAUAUUUGCGUGAAAUUUUCACCCCUUACCAACCAAUAUUGCAAUGUAUCUUAGCAUUAUACUGCUCAUUAUAAUAAAGGUAUUUUUUUAUAGUAAAUCUCAACGUAACUCAACCUACCAUAUCAAAUUUCAACUUGAAACAUUUUUUAGAUUUUGUGUUAGAAGAAACGAUGUCUAAAAAAAUUCAUUUCCUUUCAAGUCUUUAGAUUUGUUUCCUUUCUGGAGUUUAGAAUUUUUUGAGACAAGUAUUUCAAACUUUACAACUACUCGUUAGCCAUCCUAUGCUGGUUACUAGCUUGUAUACUUAAGAAUUUGCACACUUUUGUAUAGCUUGUAUAAAUGCACACUUUUGGAUUAUUUGUUAUCUACCAAACUACCAAUUUUAAGGCUUGGUUCUUUUCUUUUCUAGGCUUGGUUCUUGACAUCACCAUAUUUUUGCCUCGUGGAGUUUUAGUAGCUUUUUCAAGUUUUUCUAUCAGUCUAAGUAUUUGAAGUCUUGUUUUUCUAACUAAUUCAUUUUUAGCUUUCCACCUCUAAAAGGAAUGGUUCUUAGAAUUCAAGACUGAAAAUCUGUUGCACAAACUAAAAAAUCCGGAUAGAGCUCAUGGUUGUUUCACUGGUUUGUUGGAAUGGUUUAAAGAUUGAAAGGUUUUGACAACGGAACUUCCACAAAGUGAGCCAGUUUUAAAGAUUGUGGAAUGCCCCAGUUGCUACUGAAGAACGUCACUUUUAACUUGACAAUCUAUUGAAUGUUACACACUUACACCUCAUGUGGAACACUGAUGACUAGCCUCAGGCGAAAUAUAGAGCGUUGCACAAGAUAAACCGAUCAAAGAGAGCACAACAUCCCUACACUUAUUGACGGGUGGGGCUCAAAACUUAUAAAUUUGUGACAAAGGAACAUCGAUCAUGCAUCAAAAUUUUCUAUGUGAGUUCUGGAAAAAUUAUUGCUAGGUGCUUUUCCUCGUGAAUCUCGUUUCGUCUGUCCAUUUUCUGUAUAACUGAUAGUCUUAUUUUUAUUUUUUAGGUUUGGUAUUUUGAAGUUUUUUGAAGGAAUUCUUUCUCCAAAAGAAUUAUUUUUCACUUCUAAGCUAAUUUUUUUCUAAAAGAUUUGUUAGGUUGUAGAAUAUCUAGGUUGUUACUGAAGAAGAUUACUUGUAACUUCAUUAUCAAGUGAGUCUUAUUUUUCUUUUUAUACUUUCAUUUUUUUUCUGAUUGAAUUUGUUAUGCAUAUAAUGCAUAAACUGUAAGUUUUGGAUUAUGUAUGAAUACAAAUAAGCAUAUAAAUUAAGAAUGAUGAUCGGUGUAGGCGUAUUUAUUUUUAGAUAAGUUAUUUUGCAAGGCAUUUUUUUAAACCAACCUUGAUAUAAAAAAGUUUAAAUAGAUUAAUGAAUUACCUAGUAACUAAAUCAUAUUUCUAAUAUUAAAACAAUGAAAUUAGAUUUAUACUUUUUUCAUAUGCUUUUUCCUAUGUUUGAAGAAAUCGUAUGUAUUUUUCUUUGAAUUCCAGUUGAACUUAAACCACUGGCACCUUGCAAGAAAUAUUGAUGACCAAUUUCAGACGACAGAAAGGUGAGCUUUAGUCAAUGUCAUCCGCUGAUUCAUUUACAAUGUUGUUUCUUCCCUAUUAUCCUUAGAACUGUGUAACACGUUAUUCAAGAAACAAACUGCAAUUGUAACAAGAUAAAACAGAAGAACACGCAUUUUCUUGUAAAUUUUUUUCUAGUUACUUUGCUAUCAUGUAAAUGUAUAAGGUCUUUAAGAUAAUUCCUUUUAAAGAAAGCUAAAUAUUUCUUUAUCCAUGUUUGAUCAUCAGAAGUUUGAUGCCUUUGUCUAUUAUUUCAUAAUAUCUGAAAAUUGUUUAUUUUUAAGCUUUUAUUCGUUCUAAAUGUUUAAUAUUUUAUUUUUUUUAUUUUCAGGUUGGAUAGUGUAUUUUACUAUCUGCAGUGUUUGGGCUUGAUGUUUUCUUUUUAUUACUUUUUUAGAUUUAACUUUAUUUAGUCUAUUUUAGCAUCUCUUGUAGAAAAGAUACACGAUGAAAUGCAAGCAUUUGAAUUUUCCUCAAAACUGGAUUGCAGUAACAACACUUGAAUCUCAAAUUUGGCACUAAAUCUACGGUGAGCACAUUUCAUUUUGCAUGUUUAUCAAAUUUCAUAUUUUGUAUUAUAAUGAUCAUUGAAAUGUUAUGAGGUAUUUUGAAAUAUGAUGUUUAACUUAAUUUGAGUCAUCAACGAGGUACAUUCUAGGCAAGUGCUGUAGGAUAAAUUCGUGUAUGAUAAUUCAGCCAAUAAGUUGUUUUAGUUUACGAAUAUUUGCCUGGUCUUUCAUUCGAUGAUAUGAAUUUUCGUAUUGAAUCAUACAAUCCAAUAAUAUUGGACGGUAUUUCCUUAGAAAUUGCGCCGACAUUCUAGUAAGGUGUGGAGAAGACACAAGUCAGCCAGUAUUCUCUAACCUCUGACUUAUUCACAUAUUUAGAAAACUGGAUCCAACCCAAACAUAUCUGAAUUUUUAUGUGUUAUAUUCUCGUAUCAAUGAAGCAAAUUGGGUUAGGUCUAAGCUCCCAAAAUCUGCUUUUUUAAAAAUUUUCACACAUUGAUUUUGGAAAAGUUCGUUAACGUAGCAAGAUUUGUGGCAUUAUACUGAAACGAAUAUUUCAAAGUUUUGAGUUUUUAUCGAUUGUAAUUUUUCAGAAAAUCUUUUUAUCUGUUCAUGUUUCAAAGAAAUUAUACAAACACUGAGAUUUCUUAGGCACGAAAAUUAUUUUUUAAAAAAAGUUUUGUUUAUUUUCAAAAGAAAAAAUAAAAAACUCUGGAUAUUUUGAAGUAGAUUUCUAAAGUGUACCAGAUUUAAUACAGGCAUUUUCCAUAGACAAGACAAAAAAUUUUAAGUAGUCAACAUCUUGCAGUUUAUUAGCCUCUGCCUUUCUGCUAAAAAGAUCAAGGCUUGCAGAUUGCCCUUUGUUGCUGUUGGUUGUUUGACGAUGUUGGUUGGUGUUGAUUGAGUGGUUGGUUGAUUGGGUGAUCGAGUGAUUCGUGAUUGGGAAGAUGCAUGCCCUGCCUCUUUUUGGUAGUGAAAGCAAAGGUCGAUUUUCUGCAAGAAAACACACGGGUUAAUUUUUUAACAGAAAGAAAUUCAGCAACUAACUCGAAAACUAGAAUGAAAAAACUGAAAAUGGUUUAUGUUACUUUAACUUUCGACAAUGCAAUCUUGUGGGCAUUCUACAACAUUUUCGAAUUCACAAAAAUGCAAAAUGAAGAACAAGAAUACCAUAGAAUUGAUAGCAUUUCAUUUAGAAUUCAGGUACAAAAUAUUUCAUAACAGAUUGUAACAUAUAAGAGCUAUUUAUGCUUUUAAAGAAAACUAUAUUUUUACGCUUGUAUUUUUAAUUUAACAUAGGGAAACGAUAUUUUUAAACGUUUUUACUUUGAUUUUUUACUGCUGUGUUUCUCAUAAGACUGCAAAGAUCGUGAAGUCUAGAAAAUUCCCAAGAGAAUUACCCACGCACGUGAAGCUCUGGAAAGGCAUGCCCGAGGAUGCCUAGAUUGUUACUGGGUCCCCAAUGGUACCAAAGCAUGCCUGUGAAUGUUGUCUCUGAGUAAACAAUAAGACUCUUGCGUUAGGCCACAAAGUUUUUUUCUGUGAUUAGGCCACAUCUUUGCAAAUUAUCUGUUCACUAUCUUUUUAAAAGAAUAUCACCAAAACACUUCGCAUUUUAAGUUUCCCAGCAAACCAAAACACCAAAAACUCGCGACAUGAAGUCAAACUUCUAGUUUUCCUGGCAUCUCAAAGCACGAGGGUAGAAUUUGACUUGCCUGGAGACCAAGGGUCUCUUGAGCCUUAAAGAAGCAAAGUGACACGAGAUUCCAUGCGUUUUCUUUCACUGCAGUUUUAGGGCAACCUGUAUUGUGUUAAGCUUGAUUUCUUUCAUCGCUCGAUCAUUCUUGAAGUAAACAAGUCAACUUUAGAAAGUUUUUUUGACAAAAUAAAGGACCGUUGAUGAGAAACUUUGCGUAGAUUUUGUCACACUGAAUUGUUUUCUUGGUGGAUCAUUUGCUUCGAUAUUGCUGGUAUUUCAAUCCUUCUUUCAGGCAAUCGACAUUGGAAGAGUGAACCACGUGUGCUAAAGACGAAUUUGAAGUCAAAGAGAUUAUGAAGAUUUAUGAACAAUUUAUAGAAAUUGGACUUGAAAUUGCAUAUUAUUAUGAUAGAAUACAAGUAGUUAUUUGCCGGUAUUUUCUCGCAAGACUGAAAUUUAUCGAUAGGAGUUGAGAUCCCCUUUACAAGAAUAUGGAAACAAGGAUCGACAGGUUUGUUCUGUAGAAAGGAAUUUUUUAUUCGAAAUUUACGAUCCUCAUAAAAGACUUUACCUUGCUUGUGUACCCAAUAAUGUCCUCCAUUAAACCAACCACCCCCCCCCCCCCCCCCCACAAGACGUUUUAACAGUUUUCGAUAAGGCUCAUUAGUUCAUCUUUGAUUUUAUCGAAUUUAAGACAGUUUGACAUGAUUAUUAAUUUCAGUUUUACUUAUUAUAUACCCCCUUGUUAACCGACGGAACCCUCCUUUUUUUACCUUUUCUAUCCUUAUUUUGUACCCCUUGUUAACCCAUGCACCCCUUCCCUUUAUUUGCCUAGGGCCUCUGUCAAUAGAUUGUUUGAUAGGCACCUCAAUAAGUAAGUAGCGUUCUCUAAGACGUUAUCAAUAUACUUUACCCGUUGAGUGAAACCCGGUUUUGCGAGAAAGUAACUUAGUUAUUCCGUCUAUUUAUUUGUAAACUAGGUUUGGGCUUAUCUUCUAAAUGGAUGUGAGCAAGGCGCCUGUUCUCGUCUGUUUUUAGGAUAAGCCCUUUCGUUUCUACUUAGAUUUGUUUGUAAUUGUAGUUUAAUUUUUUGUAUUUAGUUUGUAGUAUGCUUAGGAGACUGUUUUCCGUGUUGCGUUAGGGGUUAUGGCACGGCGUUUUAAUCGGGGAGUUACCAAGAGGGCCUUGUCCUUCUUGUUAACCCUUUGCUUAAAACGCCAUGUUUACAUAACCCCUAACUCAACAUUGAUAGGGUUUUCUUAGCACGGUGUUUUAAUCAGAGGGUUAACAAGGGGAACUUCUUUUUCCUCUUGUUAACCCUUUGCUUAAAACACCAUGCUAAGAAAAAUCCCUACUGAAAACAGUCUCCUCAGCACGUAGAGUAGACAUUAAAUUGUACGUAGAGUAAGAUCGCUUGAAUGAAGUAGAGAAAAUCAAACUGAAUUGUUUUCAACCCCCGUCUUUCUACUGCUGCAAACGAGGCUACUGAACCCCCGUCUUUUUGUAAAAUGAAAACGAGGCCAUGCGGGCAAAAUAGAGGCACUUGAUUGGCUACUAAACAAAAGAAAAACAAUAGAGAAAUAGCAUGCUCUGAUUGGUCAACUAACAAUAGAAUAAUUGAAAUAGCGAGUUCUGAUUGGUUGAAAAUACAAUAGAGCGGGGCCAAAAUAGCGUAAUCUGAUUGGUUAAUAAACAAUGGUGGCCCUCCGCGGCCAAGGGCUAGCUCAAAAUUGGUAUAUUUGUAGGUGACGGCUCCUGCCCGCAGCCACCAAAAGGGCUGAAAUGGAGCAAUCUGAUUGGUUAAAGACAAUGAGCUGUCAAUCAUUUGCGGCUCCAAGCCGCCUUUUGUUCAGCCACUGGUCGCGGCCAACUUUCUUGCCUGAAGACAAUGAAAAGCCGGGGGAC